AGGGUUUCUACUCUAAAUACACACUUAAAAUAUUUUCUGUGCUGAAGUGACAUAACACAUGAUGGGUGAUGAUACCUGUGCAUCUCCUAAAGGCUGUAACCUCCUUGCUGUGGUGGUGCAUGAGUUUGGACACGCAUUCAUCAGAUCCUGGAGCCAUCAUGUUCCCAGCCUAUAAUUUUGGCUUGCACACUGUUUUGCAACUGUCUUUCCAGGACGUCAAAGAUAUACAGCAAAUGUAUGCUAUGGGUGUAUUUAUUUCUUCAUGGGACCUCAACAACUGGAAUUCAACCCCAAAAUUAGACGAGUAACUAAGACAAUGGCUGCACACACAUGGCUUCAAUGCCGAGAAAUAACAGGCAGUUGAUCAGUACCACACCGUAUAGUGAUGGGAACCAGAUUGCAAAUUAUUUUGUUGCAUCUGGUUUAAUGGUUUCCCGUUGCAUGAAUCCAAAUUAAUGGUUUUGAAAUAUAUUGCCUCAGAAGCCUACGAACCACACAGCUGUGAAUCUCAUUGAGUGAUGAUGAAAGCAUGUAUGUAUACAUUUUGUGUAAUGUAGCUUUUUUUACAUGGCAUACUUCCCCAAAAGAAACAGGUUUGUUUAUAGAGCUAGUUCAUUAUUUUAGCUUAGUUUUAGUACAUGAUGAAUCUGCAAGAAUAGCAGGUUUUAUAGCUUUAGCUAAUCCAUGGGCCUUUUUUGCAGAUUCAUCAUGUACUGUAUUAAAACUAAAGUAAAGUACAUUUUAGGGUCAUUUUUGGUUCUAAUGGACCUUUGUAUUUCAUCAUAAUUAACUCAAGCAAUUACUCAGAUCACCAAUAAUAAUCUUUAAAAAUAAGCUCUGAAGACAUUCAGUGUUGAAAAACACGGACAAGAAACAGUUUCAAAACAGAUCUAUUCUGGUCCAUUUCACAAAUGAUUGACACAGAGCUGUCAUAACCCAUCUGCUCAUGUCUCACAUCUCAUUACAACACUAAAGGACAAAGAGGAUGUUUUGAAUGCAUUGGGCUUCCCUUACUCAAGAUGAUACGUGAGAAAAAGUGGGAUUUUGUAGCAAACACACCUAUAAUAAUCGACUAAAAAUGCAGCAGAGUAACUGUUGAACAAAUACACAUUUUACUUUGUCACUUAACUGAAAUCGCUUUUUUUGGGGGGGACUAUGAACAAUUAGAGUAAUCCCAAAUUAUGUAAAUGAAACAAAUGUGGCAGAUAUAGUUUCUAAAUGAUGUCAGAACACAAUUUUCGCAGUAUUUUACAGAAAACACCAAUAUUGAUCUAACCAUGAGUAGGUAAUGAGGAGCUGCACAUUGGC
ensembl:lncRNA